rnacentral:rRNA from 1 species
UACGUAGGGUGCAAGCGUUGUCCGGAAUUAUUGGGCGUAAAGAGCUCGUAGGCGGUUUGUCGCGUCUGCUGUGAAAACCCGAGGCUCAACCUCGGGCCUGCAGUGGGUACGGGCAGACUAGAGUGCGGUAGGGGGAGAUUGGAAUUCCUGGUGUAGCGGUGGAAUGCGCAGAUAUCAGGAGGAACACCAAUGGCGAAGGCAGAUCUCUGGGCCGUAACUGACGCUGAGGUGCGAAAGCAUAGGGAGCAAACAGG